GUGUUGUAUGAAAGGAGAGAAGGUUAGCAUUCCCCUUGACAAGGAUGGAAGAGGCCCUUGGGCCUGACAACACGCAUACGGUUAAGGCAUUGCCACCUACUUCAGUCUACAUGCUAGAUCUCACUUAAAUCCAAGCUUUCA
ensembl:snRNA